AGUGAACGCUGGCGGUAGGCCUAACACAUGCAAGUCGAACGGCAGCACAGUAAGAGUUUGCUCUUACGGGUGGCGAGUGGAGGACGGGUGAGGCAUAUAUCGGAUUUUUCUUUUUAGUGGGGGAUAACGUAGGGAAAGUUCUGAUAACACCUCAUAUGAACUACGGGUGAAAGAAGCGGAGCUACGGAUCGGGCGGGACUGAAAGAGCCGAGGUCGGGUGUGCUAGUUGGCGUGGUAAAGGCACAGCAAGGCAACGCUCCGUUGCUGGUCUGAGAGGGUGAUCAACCACACGUGAACGUAAACACGGUCCAGACUCCUACGGUGAUGAGCAGUGGGGACUAGUCGACAAUUGGCGGAAGCCUGAUCCCGCCAUACCGCGUGGGUGACGACGGCCUUCGGGUUGUAAAACCCUUUUGUUGGGAAAGAAAAGCCGCAGUUUAAUACCCCGCUGUUCUGACGGUACCCAAAGAAUAAGCACCGGCUAACUUCGUG
rnacentral:rRNA from 1 species